rnacentral:tRNA from 1 species
GGCCCUUUAGUCUAGGGGUUAGGACGUUGGAUUUUGACCGCUAAUCAUCUUCCAAAGACGCCAGUUCGAUUCUGGCAUGGGCCU